rnacentral:rRNA from 1 species
GGGGAGCCCUAGCACAGGUGCUGCAUGGCCGUCGUCAGCUCGUGCCGUGAGGUGUUGGGUUAAGUCCCCGCAACGAGCGCAACCCCCGCCGUUAGUUGCCAGCGGUUCGGCCGGGCACUCUAACGGGACUGCCCGCGAAAGCGGGAGGAAGGAGGGGACGACGUCUGGUCAGCAUGGCCCUUACGGCCUGGGCGACACACGUGCUACAAUGCCCACUACAAAGCGAUGCCACCCGGCAACGGGGAGCUAAUCGCAAAAAGGUGGGCCCAGUUCGGAUUGGGGUCUGCAACCCGACCCCAUGAAGCCGGAAUCGCUAGUAAUCGCGGAUCAGCCAUGCCGCGGUGAAUACGUUCCCGGGCCUU